GCAGGGGUUGUCGAGACUGGUCAAAGGCGCCAGAUUGAGGGUCUGGUUCCGUAGGGAUACGAGGGUUCAAAUCCCUCCCCCUGCAC
rnacentral:tRNA from 1 species